rnacentral:lncRNA from 1 species
GAUAACUUAUAGACGAAUCAUAAAUAUUGAGAGAUAGAUAGAAUUUAGAGUUGCAUUCUUGUAAAAAUGAAGAUAACAUCUGACCUGCUGAUCUAGUUUCACACCUUAUAAAUUAUCUUGCAGGGAAAUGCAGAUCACAGAACAUUUCUUCCAAGUAUCAGAACUGUGGGAUACACCGAGAUGGAGUCCAUGAUUUAGAUUGUUUUGGUAAACUUAAAUCACCUGGAAUAAAAGACUGUGUGUGGAAACCUGGAAACCGCACAUCAGCAAAGACAUACACACUCAUUAUACAACAACAGUAAGAUUUCUUCUUCUUACAUGAAAUUAAAAAAAGAAUUUAAACUAUAAACGUCUAAUUUUUGAAAGCUUUCCUCCUUCUAGAAGUAAACAUUGCAAAGAAUACUACAACAUCACUGAAGUCUCGAAAAGUAUCAAAUUAUUUGAAAAUUACAACAUGACUGCUGAGGUUUUUGAAAACAGCGAGUCAACACAUUGCACAAAAGCAGUUUUCAAAGGUUCACCCAAGAGCUUGGGUAAGUCCACAAACAUGUAUUUUCAUGAGCAAUAUCUCUAUUUGAUGAUAAAUCUCUGACUGAAUAUUGGUGUUUUUAAAAAAAUAUUUCAGUGCGAUGUGGUCCUCCAUAUAACGCGUCCUUCAGCCGCCACUCUGGAAGAAUAGUUGUGAAUGUGAGCUGGCAAAAGGAGGAGAUAAGAGCCAUUCAGUAUUACUCUGUGAGAUAUAAAGCACUGGGCAGCCUGUCAUGGAGCAAGUCACUCGUCCAAUCCCAAAAUGGGGAGACAUGUACAGUGGAGAAUGUAAACGCCUCCCUGGUCUACACUGUACAGAUACAGUGUGUCACUAAUGAUAAAUGCUCACAGUGUGCACGGAGUGAAGCCUACACUGUCCCAUCAGAACUGACUA